UGGAACAAUCACUUCCAGGUUUGUGGCAAUGAGGAGCCAAAACGUCUGAGUUCCAGGGCAUUCGGGAUCCAUGGUAUGACUGUACCUCCGUAAUAGUGGAUCACUCCAUCACCAAUGUGAAACUGUGGUUCGAGUGUCACACUAGGACAUGGGAGACCAUGCUUCAAAUACCCAAUCAGACCUGAAGCUCACUGGGUGUGCCAGUCACUGUCUCUCAGUCUAACCUACCUCACAGGGUUGUUGCAGGGAUUAAUGGGGGAUUGUGAGAACUAGGUAUGGCACCUUGCGAUCCUUGGAGGAAAAGGUGGAACAUAAAUGCAUUAUUAUUAUUUUUUUUAAAAAAACUGUUGUUUCAUAGUGACUCAAGGGCAUGCUUAAAAAAAAAAAUCACCCACUGAACCUGAGGAAGCUGACAGGUCAUUUGUAGCAUAUAAUUUUUAACAAAUCUUCAGGCUCCGGUGUCAGAUGCACUGAUAUCAUUAGGGCUCUUUGUGGUUUAAGACAUCAGUUGAUUAUGGUGACUUAAGACAGAGUGGCAGAUUCCCAGUGAGGCACAUUACUUAAACAUGUGUGCGCACAAGUAUGGAUGGUGAGCCUGUCUCUUCAAAGCCUGCCUCAUUGCAGAGAGAGAAAUGUAUUUCCUCUACCGUUUGACCCUGAUAGGCUCGCAAACUGAUAGCAGAUGACUUGUGUUGAUCUUUUCCUAUUAUUGAGCAAAAGAUAUUCCUCUCUUCCUUUUAUUAUUAGUUUCUCUCUUUUUUGCCCCCUCAGGCACGUCUGUGUGUGCAAUAAAUAAAAAUUCACAUUUUUUUUCCUGCUACAAGAAUGUCCUUGUCAUUUGAACUGCAUAUGUACCAUGCCUUUAUAGCAUAUUUGAAACACAGCCCCCCCCAAGAAAAAAGAAUCUUAGGGACAGUAGUUUGUAUAAGGUUUUGUAAUUCCAUGAGGGGUAAAGAUGGGGCUCAUAAACCUGGGAAGGUAAUCUGUUCUAGGAGAAGGAAAACUCUGACCCUAAACUUCUGCUGUCUUGUGGGAUAUCUUUGGGAGAAGAAAGGCUAAAGAGUAAACCCUAAACAAAUCUGGAGCAGAGUCCUUAAAAUGGUUGGAUGGCGCCUUGUUCGCUGCCUUUUGGCAACUCCUGCAGCCAAGCAUAUGGCUCUGUUUUCUUUUGGACCACAUCAGCAAGGGUGAAAAAAAAGUCUCAUUGUCUGGGCAUCCUAGGACCUCCAUGCACAUUGCCCAGGCUUGUUCCCUGGGGGGGGGGGUCACUUCACUGCUGCUAAUGAAGUGGUUUGACUUCCCCGCCCCCCAGAGGUGCACUCCAUUGCCUCUCACUGUACAGUGCUGCACAUAUUAAAUAGUACUUCCUGAACCAGCAAAGUCAUGGACAUCUAAUGAACCCUGUAUGUGGAAAUGGGAUUUAAAAACCCUUGGCCUUGCCCCCGUUGAUUCAAGAAUGGAGCCACGGUAGAAUGGGUGGCCCUCAGGCUGGCACAGGGCCAAUUAGCCUAAUCUGGGAGUUGCAGAUGGGGGACUUCAGGGUGAAUUAGGGGGUCUGUGCACAGCCCUAGUGAAUAUACUCCAGAGGGAGGUAUCUGCCUUUGCCCUGCACUGAAAAAUAUACUAGCCCUCAAGAAUUCUAUUGCAUGCUAAGGUAAAGGUAAAGGGACCCCUGACCAUUAGGUCCAGUUGUGGCCGACUCUGGGGUUGUGGCACUCAUCUUGCUUUAUUGGCCGAGGGAGCCAGCGUACAGCUUCCGGGUCAUGUGGCCAGCAUGACUAAGCCACUUUUGGCGAACCAGAGCAGCGCACGGAAACACCGUUUACCUUCCCUCCAGAGCGGUACCUAUUUAUCUACUUGCACUUUGAUGUGCUUUCGAACUGCUAGGUUGGCAGGAUCAGGGACCGAGCAACGGGAGCUCACCCUGUCGCAGGGAUUUGAACCGCCAGCCUUCUGAUCAGCAAGUCCUAGGCUCUGUGGUUUAAACCACAGCGCCACCCGCAUUCCACAUUGCAUGCUAAUACAACUGCAAAAGGUGGGAAACCACCCCCAGUAUUUACCCUCAAAGACAGAGAUGCAGUUUCACCAGGGACUGGAAGCAAAUAGGCACCACCCCAAGUGAAUAGGGACAAUGGGAGGGUGGAUUUGCUAGCCUUUGCUACCUCUUGUACACACAAGACUUGCUGAUGACGUUCAAGGCCUGCCUCAGACAUUGUGAACUGAUGGGAAAUUGCCACCCGUUUUCAUCCAGGACUGGGUGCAUUGCGCUCAGUGUGAAUCUGCCUUGAUUGCCCAAACUACUUUAGGAAAUCACUCUUUUCCUGUUACUUGUGUAUGCAAUGCUAAAAUUUGAGCCAUACCACAGUUAGGGUCAAAAGGAGCAAAUCAGCUUUGCCAGAAAGCUAGGCAACAGAGUUCUUACAUAAUUUUUUUUCUCUCUCUCCCCCAACAGAGACACAGAUGGGAAGUCUAUUACUUGCUAUUUUGAAGAUACUACAUCUGUGUUACCAAUGAUUAUGUAAAUGCACAGAUUUUAUUGCCAUCAUCCUUCCUUUCAGCACACUUGCCUUUCACAAAUUUUGGGCUAAUCAGCAGUUUUGUCCAUCCACAUUUUCGCGCGUUUCAGCAAAUAAAACGCCGUCUGCAAUUUACUAUUCACAGUAAAUAAGUAUGCACGAAACAAACGGCACAUUCAUAAGGGGGAAAGCAGGCACCACUAAAGUGAAUUGUUUCGUGCGCAGUCAGGAAGAGUUGGCCUGGGUUGAAAAAGAGAGAAAAGGAGAAGGAGCAGGCUUGAGUUAAUGGCACAUUGGAGAAGCUCUUUUUUUAUAUAUCACUGAAGGGCUUCAGAAUGCAGCCAUCUUCCAUUUUUUCAUGAGGCGUUAAGAAACUAAUGCAGCGCAGCUGGUUGGAAAGGAUGGCGGCUACUCAAAAGCACAAAUGGGACAGCUAACGAAGUUUACAGCUGAGUUGCUCUGGCAGCUUGUAAGCGGAGGGGAGAGCUCCAUUUUAUGAGCAAUGUGGGGCUGGUGGUGCCCUGCAUAUUGAGUGAUCUCCUGCAGCUUCAUAAUCUGAGGUGCAACAUAGGUAGUGACCCUUCCCCCCCCACACACACACACUUCCUCUUCUGGCUUCCAGGGAUCCUUUGACCUGCAUGAAUCUGCCCCGUGUGGUGAGCCAGAGAACUGCAGACUGGGGAGCAUGUUCCUGGGAACAGGAAGGUGUUUAAUUAAUUGCAUUGCAUUGAAUUGAAUUCAUAUUUUUCUCCAAGGAGCUCCAGGUGGCAUACAUGCUUCUCCCAGACCUCCUUGUUUAAACCCCACAAGAACCAUGUGAGGUGGGUUAGGCUGAGAGGCAGAGACCGGCCCAAGGUCACACAAAGGGAGCUUUAUGACUGAGCAGGGAUUUUAUACUGAGCCCAUCUAACUCGGUGGUUCCCCAGGGUUUCAGAAAGGGGUUCUCUCUCAGCCCUACUUGGAGAAGCUGAAAAUUGAACCCAUGACCUUCCGUUGUAACUUUUAAAUGCCAGAAGAAAACCUUUCUAUUCUGCCAGGCAUAUGCAGGCAAUUAAGAACACAUCUUUCCACAAUGGUUAAUUGAUGUCUAUCUUUAACUAUUUACAUAUUGUUUUUACUGUAUAGUUUGUUUGUUUAUUGUUUAGGGUGUGUACUUUUCGAGAAGUUCCCAUCAUGGUUGCCUGUCCGCAGCAGCAUAAUGGCGUUUGCUGGUGCCCGGGGUGGCGGGUUGCGUGUGCCAGCCCAGCCCUCACUGCCGACGCCACCAGAGCAACCCUACCCCCCACUGGAGCAAAGUGGGGCCACGCUGAGCUGCCUGCCCACCUGCAGGCAUAGGGAACCCUGACAGCUGACACCCAUGGUGGUUUGUGGCCCCUCAAAAAUUGCAUGCCUGGAGCUAUGGCCCCCUUGUCACCCCCCAUGCUACACCCUGCUUGUCUGUGUUCACACUAUAGUAUGUUACGAUUUUAGGAGAGGGUUAUUGAUGGCUACCAGCCAUGAUGGCUGUGCUCUGCCUUCACAGCUAGAGGCAGCAAUGCUUCUGAAUAGCAGUUGCUAGAAGCCUCUUGUGCUUAGGUCCUGCUUGUGGAUUUCCCACAGGUAUCUGGGCAGCCACUGUGAGAACAGGAUCACAGACUUGUCAAAUUGUUGAGUUGGAAGGGACCCCAAGGGUCACCUAAUCCAACCCCCUUGCAAUGCAGGAAUCACAGUGAAAGCAUCCCUGACAGAUGGCCAUCAAAGCCAUGCUUAAACACCUCCAAUGAAGGAUGCUGGACUAGAUGGGCCAUUGGCCUGAUGCAGCAAGCUCUUCUUAUAUUCUUAAGUUCUAAUGGAAACCAAAGGAGGGGAGAGUGCUCUCGUGCUCAAGUCCUGCUUGCUGAUUUCCCACAGGCCUGAUCCAGCAGGCUUUUCUUAUGUUGUUACGUUCUCUGGAAUUAGAAAGUAUCGAUUGGUUUUCGGUUUGGCAUUUGGAGCGACUUACCCUUACAAUCCGUAUAGUUAAAGCUAUGGUUUUCCCAGUAGUGAUGUAUGGAAGUGAGAGCUGGACCAUAAAGAAGGCUGAUCGCUGAAAAAUUGAUGCUUUUGAAUUAUGGUGCUGGAAGAGACUCUUGAGAGUCCCAUGGACUGCAAGAAGAUCAAACCUAUCCAUUCUUAAGGAAAUCAACCCUGAGUGCUCACUGGAAGGACAGAUCCUGAAGUUGAGGCUCCAAUACUUUGGCCACCUCAUGAGAAGAGAAGACUCCCUGGAAAAGACCCUGACGUUGGGAAGGAUGGAGGGCACAAGGAGAAGGGGACGACAGAGGACAAGAUGGUUGGAUAGUGUUCUUGAAGCUACCAGCAUGAGUUUGACCAAACUGCGUGAGGCAGUGGAAGACAGGAGUGCCUGGCGCGCUCUGGUCCAUGGGGUCAUGAAGAGUCGGACACGACUAAACAACUAAAUGACUAAACAACAACAACAAUCCUUACAAUUUUUACUGCCCCAAGGCAGACCCCCUCCCCGCCAAAAAAAGCUUUCACGUGCUUAAUAUUUCUCAAUGGCCUGCAAGUGCACAGAGCUAACCUAUCCACGUCAAGUUUUUUUUCCUUCCCUGCUUCAUGAGAGAGUGAAUCACUAUCACGGCAUUUGCAUUUCCAUGAAACGAUGUUUCGCCUGACCCUUCCGAAGCUGUACAACCAAAACUUUCAAAGUAAAAUUACCAGCGUUAAAUGGCAUAAUUUGUCUCCUCCAUACUCAUUACAUAUGAGCCUUGGGAUGAUAGUUGGAAUGAAAGAUGAUGUUUAAUCUGUCACUAAAUUACAUACGUAUCUGCUUUGAGUGCUUAUUAAGCCUUAAGCAAAUCAAUACCUGAUUGCAUUUUAAUCAAGAAUAGAUAAGAAGAAAAAUCCCAUAAUAUGUAUAAGCACUUAAAACAACCCCUCCAAAGCAUUAUCGAAGUUUAAACUUGUGAUGGAAAUGGACUGAUAAAGCAAAUAUGUGGUAAUCAGCACAUACUUGGAGCCAUAAUGGAUAAUAAGCAGGAAGUUGAUCUUUUAGGAUUUGGACGUGUUGCUUCUUCUCUCACUAACUCAGCAGCACUGUUCCCAAAACAAAGUUUGCUGAAAUGAUUUGGGCUCCUGGAUCCUCUAAGGGUUCCAUUCCUAACAAGCCUACUCUUAUUGAAGCCUAGGUCUUACUGACUAUACCACUUCAGAUGGACAGAGAAGUGGUAGAUGAUGAAAUAUCUUGCAGUUUAAAAAUUUCCAGUGCAUUAAGAAAUAUAACAUAUCAUGGAGCAGCUACUGCAAUCUGCUGCAUAUGGAGAUGGUCUCUCCCCCCCACACCCCCAGUAUGGAGAAGCACCUAAUCCAGGGACCCCACUGCAGUCCAAACACAGGUUUACAGCUUGAACUUAUUUUGUAGUUGUUGUCUUUAAUUCAUUGAGGACAGUGGCCACUAAACCUGAUGGCUAUGCUCCACCUUCUAUGGUUGGAGAUAUGCUUCUGAAUACUGGUUUCUGGAAACCACAGGAGGGGAGAGUGUUCUUCUGCUUUGGGGCUUUCCAUAAGCACCUGGAUGGCCACUGCAAAAACCAGAGGAAGCCCCUCGGCUGCGUUGUGGUUUAAAUGGCCUGUGGCCACGCCCCCAGCCAUGUUGAUUGGCCACUUGGGAGCAUGACACGGCUGGGCGUCUGCAUGAUGCGGACAGCAUCCCUUCGCCCCCCGGCCAGAUCACUGAGGAUCCCAGGUGCCGGGCCACAACACCGCCCACCAGUAAAGGUGAGUGGACUUGCUGGACUAGGUGGGCUACUGGCCUGAUCCAUCCAGUUUUUCAGAUGUCAAACAACAUAUGAAGGGCACCGUGUUAUAUGGAUUCUCCACUCAUUGAUUGUAGCUGAAACAGUCAAAGGUAUUGCAUUUAAGGUAACAUCGAGUGAGAUAAAGAUCUUACCCAUGACGUUAGAUCUAGGAUAACUAUUGGGAUGACUAUUGGUAUAUAAAGCCCUUAAUACCUUGGGACAAGUUUACUUCCAGAACCUCCCUACCUCCUAUGUGCCCACUCAACUCUUUCAAUCUGUGGAACUGGUACUAUUAGCACCUGCCACAUAAUACUUGACCUGCACUUGUAAGAAAUCAAUCUUUUAGAGCAGCAGCACCUAUACUUUGGAACUCCCUGCCUAUUGAGACCACGCAGGCACCUUCGCUGUUCUCUUUUGGGGACCUGGUUAAAACAUUCAUGUUUAGGCAGGCCUAUCUAGCCACAUGGAUGCUGAUGUGCUUUAACUGCUUUAUAGUUAAUUACUCAUCAUUGCAUUUUUAUCUGGCCUUUUUGUCCAGGGAGCUCAAGAUGGUGCACAUGGUUCUCCUCCUCUUCAUAUAAUCUGAACAACAACCCUGUGAGGUAGGUCAUGUUUAGAGAUUGAGUGACUGACCGAAAGUCACCAAGCAAGCUUCAUGGCUGAAGGAGGAUUUGAAGCCUGAUCCAGCGCUCUAACCAUCACACCGCAUUGCCUGUUAGCUGGUCUCAUUCCUGUUUCAUCCAAAGGGUACACUGUGUGCCUUGGAAUGAAAAUAAAAUACACGGAGGCUCCCACAGAGGGC